rnacentral:rRNA from 1 species
GCUCAGGAUGAACGCUAGCUACAGGCUUAACACAUGCAAGUCGAGGGGUAGCAGGGUAGCAAUACCGCUGACGACCGGCGCACGGGUGAGUAACACGUAUCCAACCUUCCCAUAACUCGGGGAUAGCCUUUCGAAAGAAAGAUUAAUACCCGAUAGUACUUAAGAAAGGCAUCUUUUUUAAGUUAAAGAUUUAUUGGUUAUGGAUGGGGAUGCGUUCCAUUAGAUAGUUGGUGAGGUAACGGCUCACCAAGUCUUCGAUGGAUAGGGGUUCUGAGAGGAAGGUCCCCCACAUUGGUACUGAGACACGGACCAAACUCCUACGGGAGGCAGCAGUGAGGAAUAUUGGUCAAUGGGCGAGAGCCUGAACCAGC